GAUGAGAAGGAAGAUAUGAAGAAAGUUCCUUAUGCUUCAGCUGUUGGUAGUUUGAUGUAUGCGAUGGUUUGUACAAGACCGGAUAUUGCUCACGCUGUUGGAGUUGUUAGCCGUUUUCUUUCUAAUCCCGGAAGAGAAUAUUGGAAUGCUGUGAAGUGGGUUAUGAGAUAUCUCUGCGGCACUUCUAGUCUGAGUUUGUGUUUUGGUACAGGGAAACCUAUUCUUUGUGGUCAUACAUAUUCAGACAUGGCUGGUGAUGUUGAUACUCGCAAGUCUACUUCAGGGUACUUGGUUACUUUUGUAGGGGGAGCUGUGUCUUGGCAAUCUAGGUUGCAAAAAUGUGUUGCUCUAUCUACUACAGAAGUUGAGCUUAUUGCUAUGGUUAAAGCUUGUAAAGAAUUGCGUUGGAUGAAGAGAUUCUUGGGGGAACUUGGUUGUGCUCAAAAGAGGUAUGUGCUUUAUUGUGACAGUCAAAGUGCUAUACAUCUUGGCAAGAAUUCUACGUUCCAUGGUCGGUCUAAACACAUUGAUGUGAGAUACCAUUGGAUUCGAGAUGUGUUGAAUUUCUAAGUUGCUUGAGCUUGAAAAGAUUCAUAUAAAUGACAAUGGUUCCGAUAUGAUGACUAAAGCUUUGCCAAGAGGGAAGUUUGAAGAUCGUUGCAUGGUUGCCGGGAUGGCGGUCUCCUCCACAUAGUCGUGAGGGGGAGAAUUGUUGGGUUAUGGUCUUUUUUCCCUUUCUAUGUGGAUAAAUAAAAGCCCAAUUUGGACCAACCCAUUUUUGCCCAUAGUCCCAUUCUUAUGAGGCAAAUAUAAGCCUAUUUUGGUCUUAUUUUCAUACACACAGAGAGUUCUUUCAGCAGCCAAAAAGAGAGAAAGAGAGCAGUUUUCGCAGUCAAAAUUCAACCCUAACAACCAACUUCAAAUUGCGAUUCCCAACAGUGUGUAGAGUUAUAAAUUAAUGUUAUCGAGUUGGAUGUUUUUCAUAUCUCAUCUUAGCCUUGAAACAUAAAUUUAUGAAAAAUAUUUUAGCAUAUUGUCAUAAAUAGAUCUAAUAUGAACGAAUUUAAUAAAUCAACAAAUCAAUAUGGUCUCAUCGUUGUUUUUCUUGAUGAAUCUAGACAUGUCGGCUUUAUUUGAGGUUCACUAACCUAGGAUUUUGAAUUUGUUAAGACCUUUGAGUUUCGUUAUAUAUGACAACACAUAUUCAAUUAAAAGAAAAAGAUGUUAUUAGUUUAUUUACAUAUUAUUUUUUAUCAUUAGGAUUAUUUGACCUGUUUAAUAGACACUAAUGUUCAUCUUAGUAAACUUAUUAUCCUAAAUUAUUAUUCAUCUAACUCUUACAUAUAAUCAAAGGUUAUGACACCCAGUAAGAAAUGGAUGCAACUUGUUGAUGAUUGACUUAAUGAGGUCUACUUUAUUGGGGUAGAAAAUUUUUAAAAUAUGCUUUUCAAAGAGCAGGAGAAAUGUAUGAAAUACGAUGUCCAUGUGUCAAAUGUUGUAUACCACAUUAGGAACGUGUGACAGUCAGAACACACUUGAAAGUUUAUGGAAUAAUUAAAAACUACACCUUUUGGUAUAAUCAUGGAGAAGUCUACGGUGAGCCAGAAUCAGAAUGUGAAGAUAGAGAUGAUAAUGAAGCAGAAAAUGGUGAAAAUGAGGAUGAAAUAAGAGAAAUUUUGAUAGAUUUCUAUCCUAACCAUUAUGGACACACUGCAGAUGUUGAUUUUAAUGAGUCACAUGAAGAGGAACCAAAUGUUGAAGCCAAAAAGUUUUAUAGACUAUUGGGAGACUUUGAGAAGACACUUUAUCAAGGUUCAAAAAUUUCAAAACUUUCAACUUUGAAAGUAUGGGUCAUUGGAGUAAUGAGUCAUUUACGAUGUUGUUAAAAAUACUAAAAGAUAAGGUGUUUCCUGAUGAAGCCGAUUUGUCGAAUACAUAUUAUGGGGCAAAGAAGGUAAUUCAGAAUCUUGGACUUUCCUGUGAAAGAAUUGAUUCUUGUAUAAAUGAUUGCAUGUUAUAUUUAAAGGAGGAUAAAUUACUUUAUUCGUUUAAAGUUUGUGGCGAAUCCAGAUGGAAAGUUGAUAAACGUAGCGGGGAAGCAAAGAACAAAAAGGGUAAAAAGGUAGCAUCAAAGAUUAUGCGUUAUUUUCCAUUAAAGCCUAGGAUUCAAAGGUUAUUUAUGUCUUCAAAGAUAUCUUCUCUAAUGACAUGGCAUCAUGAUGAAAGAGUUGAUGAUGGAAUAGUGAGGCACCCAGCUGAUUCAAUGGAAUGGAAAUUAUUUGAUGAACUCAUCCUUCAUUUGCAGCCGAGCCUCGUAAUGUUCGACUUGGACUUGCGAGUGAUGGUUUCAACCAUUUUGGAAUGUAAAACUCAUAUAGCAUUUGACUGGUGAUACUUAUUCCCACCUUGGUUGUGUAUGAAGCAAGAAAAUUUUAUCAUGUCCAUGCUUAUUCCGUGUCCAAAUGGUCCAGGUGAUGCAAUUUACACAUAUCUUCAGCCAUUAAUAGAAGAAUUGAAGGAUUUAUUGGGAUAUUGGUAUUGAGACAUUUGAUGCAUCAACCAAGCAGAAUUUUAAGUUACAUGCUUCUUUGUUUUGGACCAUCAAUGACUUUCCAGCACAUGAAAAUUUAUCUAGGUGGAGUACGAAAGGAAAAUUGGCAUGCCCAUGUUGCAACAAAGAUACUUCCUCAAUCAGAUUGACCAAUUGUAAGAAAUAAUGUUAUAUGGGUCAUCGUUGUUAUCUUCCUCGCAAUCACAAAUGGAGGAAUGAUAAGAACUCCUUUGAUGGUAAAGAAGAGAAGAGGCUCCCACCAAAAAAACUAUCUGGUAUUGAGAUUCUUUAUCAAGUUCAAGAUCUUGAGGGAUUGCAGCUAACAAAGGAACCAAAGAAAAGAAUCAAAAUAUCACAUGAUAGUCGAAAAGAUAAUUGGAACAAGAAGAGUAUCUUUUUUGAACUUGCAUAUUGAGAGUCUCUUUUGUUGUGACAUAAUUUGGAUGUUAUGCAUAUUGAAAAAAAUAUAUGUGACAACAUCUUGGGGACAAUUAUGAAUGCCAAAGGAAAAAUCAAGGACGAUAUUAAUACUCAGCUAGAUUUGAAAGAAAUGAAUAUAAGGCCAGAGUUGCACCCUAUCGAGAAAGGUGAAAAAUAUGAAGUUCCAACUUUAUGUUACACCUUAUAUCCACAAGAAAAGCACAAUUUUUGUCUGUUUUUGAAGAAUUUAAAGGUUCCAGAUGGAUUUUCAUCCAAUAUUUCUCAGUGUGUUAGCCUGAAAGAUCACAAAAUUUCUACUUUAAAAAGUCAUGAUUGUCAUGUUCUUCUUCAGCAUUUACUCCCUCUUGCACUACGGGGUAUGUUGUCCAAAGAAGUGUGUGAACCUCUAAUUGAAUUAUCUAUAUUUUUUAAAUGAUUGGAGCUAAGUCAUUAAGGAUUGAUGACUUGGAGCAGAUUAAGGCUCAAAUUCCAAUAACUCUUUGCAAGUUAGAAAAGGUAUUUCCGCCUUCAUUUUUUUAUGUCAUGGUGAGAUUGCCUAUUCACUUAGCUAAUGAAGCUAUGCUUGGUGGAACUGUCCAGUAUCGAUAGAUGUAUCCUAUAGAACGAGGGUUAUAUUGUUUGAAAUCUCUCAUUGUUAAUAGGGCUUGGCCAGAAUGUUGUAUUGCAAAGAGUUACAUUGCACGUGAAUGUAUGAAUUUAUGUUCAAGAUAUCUGCAUACAAUUGACACAAAAUUUAAUAGGCCAGAACGAAAGUAUGAUGGUUGUCUGAAAAAAUCUAAAGGAGUAUCUUUAUUUUUUCAAUAUGGAAAAAAACUGAGGGCUCCAAAACAGCGUGAGCAUGCACAUAUAUACCUUCUAAAGAAUUGCGAUGAAGUUCUACCCUUCCCAGAGUAUGAUUUUUUUUCUAGACAUCAUACUUUAUUGCCUUUUUUUCUUUUGGAUAACUUUUUUAUAUGACAUUUGUGAUUCAAUUUAAAUUUGUGGAGAAUUUGCACAAAUUCAUAUAGAUUCUACUCAAUACUUGUCUGAUGAUGAAUGGAGUAGAUAAUUUAUUGAAUGGUUUCAAGAUAAGAGAUAAUAUGUACACAUCAAAUUUAAAAAUCUAAUAUUAAGUUACCCAUUUAAAAGUGAUCAAUUUUAUUAUGUUGAUAGGUUGCACAAUUGCAUAAAGAAGAUGAUAAUCGGAUCAUGGAAGAUCUCCUCGCACUUUCACGUGGUCCUACUAAAUAUGUAUUACAUUAUAAUGGUUACAUUGUCAAUGGAUAUAGAUUCCAUGCAGAAGAUUAUGAUAAAAAUUUAUGGACUCAAAAUUGUGGUGUGAUUGUCAUUGGUAAAACUGAUAAACAUAGUGAGAACAUUGAUUACUAUGGAGUUUUAACCGAUGUUCUUGAAUUGCAAUUCACGGGCAGAAGAGUUGUUUUGUUUGAAUGCAAAUGGUUUGAUGCAUAUGAUAAGACAAAGGGAGUGAAAAUAGAUGUGUAUGACAUUGUAAGUGUAAAUUGGGGGCGAUUUUUGAAAACAAAUGAGCCUUUUGUAUUAGCUGAUCAAGCCUCUCAAGUAGUUUAUGCUAUUGAUAAUUCCAAUAGAGGUUGGUGUGUAGUGAAAAAGGUACAACCUCGUAAUUCCUAUGAAAUUAUCCAACAAAAGGACAAUGAAUUUGAAAAUUUAGAAAAUUCUUCACAAAAUAAAUGAAAAAAAUGAUUGAGGUGAAUAUCUCCUUAAACUUUUGCAUAUUCGUCAUUAUACAUUUUGAAACACGAUUUUAUUAGUACAUUAUUUUUAUAGUGUUUUAAUCUUUUUUGCCAAGCAUAUGAUUUUUAGAAUGUUUUCUCAUUUUUUUUGUUAACACAUUGUCUUUGUUUUUUGGUAGGUGUGAUAUGAAAUCAUCAAAGGAUGAAAAUCAGGUGGCAUCUAGAGUGAAAGUUACUACUAAAUAUGCAUGUGUGCCAUCGAGUUCUAUAGGAAAAGGACGAGGAAGAGGUCUUAAAUGUAUGGUGUCAAGAACUUUUAUUCCAUUUUCUCCAUCUACUGAUCAAGUUAUGCAAUACAAUCAAUUUACUGAAACAAGUGUGGUUGCAUAAGGACGAGGAAAAGGUCUUAGAUCUAUGUUUAAUCCUCAAGGAGUGAGAACAAUGAAGAAAAAUUACUUGAGUGUUGAGAAAGGACAUAUUCCAUCUUUUUCAUCUACAGAGGAACUUAUGCAAUAUAUCAAAACAAAUUUAUCAAGGGCUCAAGGGAAAUAUCAAGGGCUUUAAAUCUAUUGCUCAAUUGAAGAUAUUGAAAAUGAGGAGCGAUCUUUCAAUCAAAAUGAUCGUUGUGUUAGUCAAAGCAUGUCAAAACCUUCUAAUGCUCAAGGAUGGAGAACAAUGAAUAAAAAGUAUUUGACUUCUGAGAAAGAGCAUAAGCAAGAUGAUGUUCCAAUUUCUCUCUUUACUUGUGAUGUUAUGGAAUCCACCCCAACAUUUGAAACAAACACUUUGUAGGCUCAAAUUCAAGAAUUGGUGGAGUCUGAACCAUUACUUUAUAACAUAGAAAUUGUUGAGAAAUGCUUUGGACCUCAAAGUCGUAGUCAUGUAUUUGGAUUUAGAGGUGGAGUAAAAGCAAGAAAUUUGAAAGGUGGGGCUUCCUCAAAAGCUGAAUUGUUGCCCGAGCUACGUUCAACUCAAAAAGAGAAUCAGUCUUUGAAGGAUUGCAUGUCUAACUUUCAAAAUGAGAUGAAAGAAUUUUUUUUUUAGCGCAACACGCUAGUUUUCAGCCUCCAAUUCAAGAGAAUGACUAUUCGGAUACUUGAUGAUACCAUCACACGAACUCCUGAUAAAAUUUUAUAGAGAAAAUGGACUUUUGGCUAUUUAAGGAUUUUCAAGUGAUGAUAACAAACUCAGUUAGAACAUGUAAGCUCUUCUUCCUCUCUUAACUUUAACUUUUUGACUAAGUUUUGUUCCUUGUAAAUUUUAGUUUGUGAUUACAAUUUACUCGUCGCAAUAUAAGUAAUUAGUGUUGUCGCUGCUACAACUAUAUUGUGUACAACAAUUUCCCACAAAAAAAUGGCCAUCAAAAUCUCAACUGUUGCAGCAAUUAGUGGUACAAAUUGUUAUUUGAUUUAAUCACAUCUGUAUGUUUAUCUUUAUAUAUAGGUCUUGUGAAUGAAAGUUCUAUUUCUUUUAAGAUUUUGGAUGUUGAAAUUUGCAAAAAGCUGAUGUUAAACAACAUAUAGAUUGACCAUUUUUUGUUGGGAAGGUUAAGGCGACUUUGGAUUAUAGUUUAAGGCCAGUGUAUACUUUUUUCUGCUAAGGGUUCAUGAUCACAAUAUUGUUACUAGCUUACCUCAGUGUUGUAUGUAGUCAGAUGCCUUAUACUCACAUUAUUUUGUAAUUACAUUAUAUAUUGUAUAUGAAAGUGACAAGUUUAUAUUAAUUAUCGUAUUUUCUAGGUCAAAUGCAAUGUGAUUUAAGGACUAGAAUGCAAAUUCUUAAAUCAUUUUGAGUAGGAAAUCUGUAAUGGUUGUGAUAUGAUUUAUGGAUCAUCUCCAAAAUGGUCCUGAAAUGAUUUAGGGACCAGCUUAAAAGUUUUCGUAAAUUGAUCUAUAGACGAGCUAAAAACUGGUCGCAAACUGAUUUACGGACCAACUUCAAACUGAUCGCAAAAUGAUUACGGACCAGCAUAGAAGUCGUCCCAAAUGAAAUAUACAACAGUUAUAAUACAUUGGAAUUCAAUAUUUUAUACAUAUUAUACGCAUAUUUCAAUGAAUCUGGUAAAUAUAUAACUACAUUCUUUAUACAAAUGUAUUAUACGUAUUGUAUGUGAAUUUCAAACAUUUCGCUACUAUUUAAAUUAGUCUACAUUGUUUGGAAAUAUAUUAUAUUGAUUUUGGAAUAUCAACAGUCAAAAUCAUAUGAUAUCAAAUUCAAAUUGUAUUAUAAUUAUCAUUAUAUUUAGGAUAAAUCAUCUACAUACACAACAUCAUUCAACAUAUUUUCUAUUAUUCCCCGCCCUUUCUAAAUAUUACUAAAAUCCUUUUUCUUACUCCAUUAAAUCAAACUUCCAGAUACAUAACAUAUUUUUUCCUAACCCACGUUUAUCUCUCCCCUUUUCACUCCUUACAUCACUCUCUUUUUUACUCCCACAAUCUUAUCUGUUUAUUCUCUCAUUACAAUUUUAAAUUUUAAGAUCU